rfam:Aedes albopictus isolate Foshan contig48044, whole genome shotgun sequence.
UAGUCUAGUGGUUAUGGCUAUGGAUCGCUAAUCCGAAGACAAUGGGUUCGAUUCCCAU